rnacentral:rRNA from 1 species
UCCUACGGGAGGCAGCAGUGGGGAAUUUUGGACAAUGGGGGCAACCCUGAUCCAGCCAUGCCGCGUGUGUGAAGAAGGCCUUCGGGUUGUAAAGCACUUUCGGACGGAACGAAAUCGCGCGGAUUAAUAACCCGCGUGGAUGACGGUACCGUAAGAAGAAGCACCGGCUAACUACGUGCCAGCAGCCGCGGUAAUACGUAGGGUGCGAGCGUUAAUCGGAAUUACUGGGCGUAAAGUGUGCGCAGGCGGCUUGGCAAGUCGAGUGUGAAAUCCCCGGGCUUAACUUGGGAAUUGCGCUCGAAACUACCUGGCUUGAGUGUGGCAGAGGAAGGUGGAAUUCCACGUGUAGCGGUGAAAUGCGUAGAGAUGUGGAGGAACACCGAUGGCGAAGGCAGCCUUCUGGGCCAACACUGACGCUCAUGCACGAAAGCGUGGGGAGCAAACAGGAUUAGAUACCCUGGUAGUCCACGCCCUAAACGAUGAUGACUAGUUGUUGGGGGAGUUAAAUCCCUUAGUAACGCAGCUAACGCGUGAAGUCAUCCGCCUGGGGAGUACGGUCGCAAGAUUAAAACUUAAAGGAAUUGACGGA